GGCUGGGAGGGGGGAGCCGGCCAAGGAGCCAGCCCAGGCCGUGCCCUACUGGGUAGCAGAAAGGCACAGAGAAAGUCACAUCUGGACCUGAAGCCUUCAGGGUCUGAGAGUCAGUGUCUGGAGGUGACGGUGUACAUGCAGGGGUGGAGAUGUUUCCAUGGUGAUGCUGGGAAUGGUGCAGGUACCCUCAACUCUGACCUACCUAAGGGACUUGUUGGUGGGAGACUUUAUCCUGGGAUCAAUGGGUCGGAAGCAGGAGUUGUAACCUCUACUUCUAUCUCUUCCCCACACUUCAGUGCAAAAGAAAGUUGCAGAAAGCAGAAGUGAGGUUUUAACUGACUAUUAUGAAGAAAGGUGCUAUGAACAUUGAAGUACAGUUCUCUUUUGCAGACACAGAAGUGAUGUUUUCCCAGAGUGUCUAAGACUUCUUCUCUCAUACUGAGUUGUUGAACCUGGAGUACAUUGCAGUUUAGACUCUGAAGCUGACUUUAUCACGAGGAUAUCUGGGUACUGACACUAAGCUGUGAAGACAACCCUUCCCAUUACCUGUGCAUGAAAGCCGCUGGAAACUCCUGAUGCCUUGAGGCUACGCAGCUGCGUGAGCACAUACUGUGGAGAACCACGCAAUGCAGAACUUUCAGUUCCAUGCGUUUUUGCAGGAAGUGACCCCGCACAUCAUCUCUUUUCACCACUCGUUAGGAGAGGAGAAGCUCAGUUCUGGAGAGGUGAAACACUUGCUUAAGUCCAGCUGGUCACUGGCAGGGGUGGGAGGAGAAUGCCAUCUCCUUGGACUUUCGCUGCUGUGCGGGAUGCAGUUUGUGGGGCAAUGCCUCACCUUUGAGAGAAAGGAAAGAAAGAGAGAGUGAUGUCUUAGGAAAAUAAA